rnacentral:rRNA from 1 species
AACGAACGCUGGCGGCAGGCCUAACACAUGCAAGUCGAACGAAGCCUUCGGGCUUAGUGGCGAACGGGUUAGUAACGCGUGGGAACAUACCCUUCUCUAAGGAAUAGUCUCGGGAAACUGGGGGUAAUGCCUUAUACGCCCUUUGGGGGAAAGAUUUAUCGGAGAUGGAUUGGCCCGCGUUAGAUUAGAUAGUUGGUGGGGUAAUGGCCUACCAAGUCUACGAUCUAUAGCUGGUUUGAGAGGAUGAUCAGCAACACUGGGACUGAGACACGGCCCAGACUCCUACGGGAGGCAGCAGUGGGGAAUCUUAGACAAUGGGGAAACCCUGAUCUAGCCAUGCCGCGUGAGUGACGAAGGUCUUAGGAUCGUAAAGCUCUUUCGCUGGGGAAGAUAAUGACUGUACCCAGUAAAGAAGUCCCGGCUAACUCCGUG